rnacentral:ncRNA from 1 species
AUAAUGGAGAGUUUGAUCCUGGCUCAGGACGAACGCUGGCGGCGUGCCUAAUACAUGCAAGUCGAGCGGAACUGGGGGAGCUUGCUCCUUCC